GUCUUUUUGAUAAAUAAUUUAAAGUCUAAUCUGCCCCCUGAAAUUAUUUUAAAGGGCUGCGGUAUCUUAACCGUACAAAGGUAGCAUAAUAAUUAGGUUUUUAAUUGAAAUCUUGAAUGAAUGAUUGGACGAGAUAUGGGCUGUUUUAAGACAUUGAGAUUGAAUUUAAUUUUUUAGUUAAAAAGCUAAAAUUUUAUUAAAAGACGAGAAGACCCUAUAAAUCUUUAUAAUAUAGUUAUUUUAAUUAAUUAUUUAAGUAGAAAUUAAUUUAAAUAUUUAAGUUAUUUUAUUGGGGUGAUAUAAAAAUUUUAAGAACUUUUUAUUCAAUUUAAUCUAAAAUAAAAGAUUUUCAGAAUUUGAGCUAUUAUUAAUAAUUUAAAGAAAAAGAUACUUUAGGGAUAACAGCGUAAUUUUAAUAUUAAGUUCAUAUUAAUAUUAAAGAUUGCGACCUCGAUGUUGGAUUAAAAUUUAAUUUAAAUGCAAAAGUUUAAAAAUUAAGUCUGUUCGACUUUUAAAAUUUU
rnacentral:rRNA from 1 species